rnacentral:lncRNA from 1 species
CCCCCACAUCCGGCUCAGAGAGGGGGCAACCACGGACCACGCCAGGCAGCACCCCACCAAGUGCGGCUACUACAUGGGGUGGGGAGGGGGAGGCAGUUCCCGGGAGCGGGAUGGAGGAGCCAAAGAGGGCAAGGAAGGGCAGGGUGGACACCCCUUCCCGCCUGGAAAGCAUAGUGACAACGAUGACAACACAAUCAAUCGCCAUGGAUGGGACUUGGCUGAUGCCAGGCUCCGGGACCAGCCGGUGUGUACCACCUCAGCUCCUGCUUCAGCUCCCGGCCUUAGAAUAUCUGCCAAAAAUAAAAUUGGUAACAGAAAGAACAAAGCAAAACAGAAUACAACUCUCCCAACGUGCUCACCAGACUCCAGGGGCUAACAAACCUGCCUUCCAGCCACCUCUUCGCAAGCAGCAGGUGGGCCCCGUCAAGGAGGAAACAACCACUAUCCACAGAGCAGCCAUGGUCAAACCAUUGUGUGGCUGACUGCUCAUCUGUGGUGUAAACUUCAGGGAUCAAAACAGGGCAUCCAACCUUGUGACCAGAAUAAAAACCACUGAACUGCACUCUGAAGGGGUGAAUUUGGGACCGGGUAUGUAGCACAGUGGUACAGCACUUGUCUGACACGCAGGGGCCCUGGGUUCCAUCUCCAGCGUUACAAAAUCCCUACAUACCUUAAAUGGUGAACUGGAUGUUAUGUGAAAUUUGAUACUAUCCAAACUACGUGGGAAAAACAAAAUGAAACAGUAGCGUUACAUCCUCA